CCCCUCCCAAUCAUGAGAUGAGGCUCUAUGUUGAGGGUCAAAACAGGAACUCAGCAGUCUGAGGGUUGUCUUAUAUGCAAGUUUUUACACAAUGUUACCACCCACAUGAUUUUGUGGCACAGCCAAUCAAAUACAUUAUAAUACAGUUAAACACUCCCAGUUAGGACACACAAACCCUCCCCUCUGCCUGUGAUAUAAAUUGUUAAUUAUCAUCAUGUUUCAUACAACAUAAAUAUUCAUACAAUCUCCAUAAAAGUUACAUAUUUUGAAUCAGCAUACUCCAAAUACUCCCAAAAAAUCUGACAAUUCCCUCCAGUGGUUAAAAAGUUAGGUGGAAGUCCUUUUUGACCGACCGCACGCAUGGCUUUCCUGCCCAAAACAGUUCCAUAGAUUUGGGCUGUACGGUCGGUCUAUUUUACACUGAAAUCGAACGCACUUCGAUUUUAGCCGAAGUGUCGAAGUGGAGGAGAAGGUAAGGGUCAGCGGUGUUCGUGCAAAUGUGUAGCCGAUUUUAGUUCCAUGGAUUUGACGCACACACCGCUGAGCGCAUUUGACUAAAUAUAGAUGGCUGCCGCCAGCCUGGGAGGUAAAUUGCCUGCACACUUCCACUUGCGUGUGGUCCGCCUCUUCAGUAAUUGGUUCGGUAAGCCCCAUUUACCGAACCAAGUGGAAAAAGCCAGGAACAAAGAAUUUUAACAGUCUGGGGACUCUGAGGACACAGUUUUAAA